CUGCGCUCGGCUCGCCUGCUCGCCGCUUCCGGGCUGACAGUCUGGGCUGCACGCAGUGGCGGGCCCGGGAGCCUGAGAAGAUGACUAGGAGUGUCUGAACCCCAGGGUUCAGGCUGGAGAGCCGGUUCCUGACUGCACGGGAGACGCCCUCGCUCAGGACACAGUUCAAAGCAUAUUUUCGUUGGAGCCAUAAAGGUUUCUGCAGUGUGGAAAAAGUGAUGCUUGAUCUGAAGAAGUCUCCGAGUCUCUGUAUACGAAGCACUGACCUUAUACCCUCCCACAAGAGCUGAUUCGUGAUAAGCCACCAGCUGGACAAGUCCUGUGGGCUAUGCCUCUGAGGAGAAGCUCUCUCCUGUCUCCUGCUCCGUUCCUGCUUUCUCUCAGGGCUCCAGGAGACAGCCUUCUUGAACCAAGGCUGCGGUUACCAUGCCUACCUGCUGCCAUACUUCCCCACCAUGGAGGACUCUUCUCCUCUGGAACCAGAAGCCCCAGAUAAAUUCUUGCUUCUACAAGUUGCCUUGGUCAGGAGGUUUUAUCACAGCAACAGAAAAGUAACCAAUACACCGUCCUCCAAGCACCAAGCAGUGUCAGCACAUAAAAGAUGCUUAAAAAAUAUAUUUGUUUGAUCUACACAAUUUUUUUUUUCAAGGCAGAGUUUUUCUGUGAAAUCCUGGCUGUCCUGGAACUCACUAUGUAGACCAGGCUGGCCUUGAACUCAGAGAUUUGUCUGUCUUUGCCUCCAGAGUGCAGGGAUUAAAGUGGUGCACCACCACUGCCCGGCUGACCCACACACAUUUAUUGAGUGGCUCUAACAGGACAGAAGCUCUAUGGCAAUGAAGAUUAGAAAAUAAAAAAAAUGGUUCCAGCUACUGCUUCAUUACUUCCUUCUCCAGUGCAUCGCAUCCUUAGAAAUGAAGAUGGUGGUUCAUCCUCGACUCUACUAAAUCUGUGGCCGUGAUGUACCUGAGGGUAUUUGUCAUCCUUGAAAAUCUACUGUUGCUCUAAGGGCAAAAACUGACAACCUUCCAAGGGCUGAUUUCAGCUCAAAGAGACAUUCGGAACCAAGGAUACCAGUACUGUGAUGUCACUAUUCCUGAGUUCUCUAGUGAAUGAAAGUACGCUCAGUGAAGCCAACUGUCAAUUACCUCUCAUCAGAAUCAAGUCCAUCCACAAAAAACUCGGACGCUAACUUCUCUUGGAGGAACCGAUCCCAGCAUUCCUUCUUAGCUUGGGCCAGAGUUCGAAGCAUGUCCUUGGAGGUUACUUCCUCAUUUAAACCUUUGAUUCUUCUUAGUUUCUUCUCUGAAGAGAAAUGGAGAAAAGAGAAUGAAUCAGUAUCAGCUAUACAGCAAAUUCAAGGCUAGGCCAGGCUACAGAAGAUCGUGUCUCAAAUAUCCAGCCAAACAGACCAGAAAACAAAAACAUCAAAAAACCCUUUUACUGAUGAACACAUCCACAGUCCCUGAAAAAACAAAAAACAAAAAACCCCUUGUUUUUAGAGGAAAAUGAAUAUUGACUGAACAUGCUUCUUUUUCAUUCCCGCACUGUCUUAAGUAAAUGUUUAACCCUGGAAGAGGAAGAGCCAUAGGCUCUCACAAAUAAAUCAGUAGCAUUUUUGUUUUA